UCUGGGUCUUUGCUUUGGUGUUGGCUCGU
rnacentral:piRNA from 1 species